GCCGCGCAGCACCUGCGUCCUGCGAGCACACAGCUCCGACCCUCAGCGCUUUGAGUGCCUUGUGUUGUUUGUGAGGAGGCGCGCGCGGCGCGGCACAGACAGAUGGCGCAGUCCAUGCUCAUGUCGACGAGCGUCAGCGGCGGCCGCGCGCUGCCGUCGCUGCAGGCCGCCCGGCCGGCGGCGGCGUACCCGCGGCUCGCGCUGCCGUCGGUGAACAGGCACUCCAAGUCCGUCUCCGUGAAGAC
rnacentral:lncRNA from 1 species